GGUUCGAUGGUGUAGUUGGUUAUCACAUCUGUCUAACAGUUAAAACUGAGCACAGAAGGUCCUCAGAUCGAGUCUGGGUCGAAUCA